UAUCACUGUUGCUUACUAACCCCUAGUACUUUCAUAGUACUUUCACUGUGUGGAGUUGAGUGUAGCCAUAUUGUCACUUUAUGUCAAAGAUGUCUAAGUUACCUUUCCUAUCUUUGAGCACUGUGCUCUCAGGAAGCCUCGUUUUCCACUGUGGAUGUUUCUCAUCAUGACUCAUCAAUUGACUGAGCAAAAUGAUGUCAACUUACAAAGUGACAACAGAAAACAGUAACUUUCUGCUUUUGCAUCUGGCGCUUGUUUUCCACAUUGCCAAGUAUAUGCACUUCUGCAUGAUGGAACGUGGGAAGACUGUGAUUAGUCUCAGGAAGAGAGGGGCAGAUGUCAGACAUUCUGCAGCAUUCAACACAAGUGAACAGCAUUUAGAAAAACAAGAUACUUAUGUUGCCCCAGGAGAGCUCAUCUUUCAAGAAAAUAUGAACCACUGGAUUUUGUAGGGGUAUGUGGAUCCAAGCUGCUAGACACUGAAGCAAGUUUCAUACAAGUGUGUCUGAGCUUCAGCAUUGUAUAGCAGUAAUUUUCUUCAGAAAGAGCACAAGAAGAGAAUAUCCUCUACCUACACUUUCUUUUUAGUUUGGAUUUCCUACCCCAUCUUUGAGAUGCCUCUCAGUCAGAUGACUUCUCACUUCCACUAACCCUUUUUAUAGUUAAGUGACCGUAUGUCAGGUUUCACAGAUUCUAGAGGCUUAUGAGUCAGUCUCAUGAGUUCACCUAUAGCUCCAGUUUCUCUUGUAGCAAUUGUUUACUUCCAGAUUCCAUAUAAAAUGGAAAGUAUGUAUAGUAUGGAAAAUGUCUUGAUGUGUUCAAUGACCAGCCUUCAAUAUAAUUGUUCUUAUAAAAGGAAAUCUCAGCAAGAUGUAUAAAAUGCUGGUGGGGAUUAACUACAAUAUAGAACCUAAGAAGAACUCAUAAUUGUUGGAAGUAUUAACAACAGGGCUAUUGUUUGCAUAUUCUUUGCCAUACAAACACACCAGUUGACAACCCCCCCUAAUAAAAGGCUCUGGCCAAUUGGAGGAGAGGCA
rnacentral:lncRNA from 1 species